GUCUUUGUCGUCUAGAGGUUAGGACAUUGCCUUUUCACGGCAAGAACAUGGGUUCAAGCCCCAUUAAAGAUA
rnacentral:tRNA from 1 species